AGGAUCGGCCCGCGUCUGAUUAGCUAGUUGGUGGGGUAAUGGCUCACCAAGGCGACGAUCAGUAGCUGGUCUGAGAGGAUGAUCAGCCACACUGGGACUGAGACACGGCCCAGACUCCUACGGGAGGCAGCAGUGGGGAAUAUUGCACAAUGGGCGCAAGCCUGAUGCAGCGACGCCGCGUGGGGGAUGAAGGCCCUCGGGUUGUAAACCCCUUUCGGCAGGGAAGAAGCGCAAGUGACGGUACCUGCAGAAGAAGUCCCGGCUAACUACGUGCCAGCAGCCGCGGUAAGACGUAGGGGACGAGCGUUGUCCGGAUUUAUUGGGCGUAAAGCGCGCGUAGGCGGUUUGGUAAGUCGGAUGUGAAAUCCCGCGGCUCAACCACGGGACUGCAUCCGAUACUGCCCGACUAGAGGUAGGUAGGGGAGAUCGGAAUUCCUGGUGUAGCGGUGAAAUGCGCAGAUAUCAGGAGGAACACCGGUGGCGAAGGCGGAUCUCUGGGCCUUACCUGACGCUGAGGCGCGAAAGCUAGGGGAGCGAACAGGAUUAGAUACCCUGGUAGUCCUAGCCGUAAACGUUGGGUGCUAGGUGUGGGGGGGACAUCGACCCCCUCCGUGCCGAAGCUAACGCAUUAAGCACCCCGCCUGGGGAGUACGGCCGCAAGGCUAAA
rnacentral:rRNA from 1 species